UCGGUAGGCGGUCCGGUAAGUGCUUGGUGAAAUCCUGCGGCUUAACCGCAGAACGUUCAGGUAGACUGUCGGACUUGAGGACCGGAGGGGCAGGUGGAAUUCCCGGUGUAAGGGUGAAAUCUGCAGAGAUCGGGAGGAACACCAGUGGCGAAGGCGGCCUGCUAGACGGUCCCUGACGCUGAGCGACGAAAGCGUGGGGAGCAAACA
rnacentral:rRNA from 1 species